GACAGAGGGUGCAAACGUUGUUCGGAAUUACUGGGCGUAAAGCGCGUGUAGGCGGCCCGGAAAGUCAGAUGUGAAAGCCCCGGGCUCAACCUGGGAAUUGCAUUUGAGACUGCGUAGCUAGGGUGCGGAAGAGGGAAGCGGAAUUUCCGGUGUAGCGGUGAAAUGCGUAGAUAUCGGAAGGAACACCAGUGGCGAAAGCGGCUUCCUGGUCCAGCACCGACGUUCAGGCACGAAAGCGUGGGGAGCAAACAGG
rnacentral:rRNA from 1 species